UUCGCCCUUAGAAGUUUGAUCCUUGGCUCAGGACGAACGCUGGCGGCGUGCCUAACACAUGCAAGUCGAGCGGAGACAGUGAGUAGCUUGCUAUGAGCUGUUUUAGCGGCGGACGGGUGAGUAACGCGUGAGCAACCUUUCCCAGACAGGGGAAUAACACACCGAAAGGUGUACUAAUACCGCAUAAGACCACGGGAUCACAUGGUUCUGGGGUAAAAGAUUUAUCGGUUUGGGGUGGGCUCGCGUCCGAUUAGGUAGUUGGUGAGGUAACGGCCCACCAAGCCGACGAUCGGUAGCCGACCUGAGAGGGUGAUCGGCCACAUUGGGACUGAGACACGGCCCAAACUCCUACGGGAGGCAGCAGUGGGGAAUAUUGGGCAAUGGAGGAAACUCUGACCCAGCAACGCCGCGUGGAGGAAGAAGGUUUUCGGAUCGUAAACUCCUGUCCUUGGAGACGAGUAGAAGACGGUAUCCAAGGAGGAAGCCCCGGCUAACUACGUGCCAGCAGCCGCGGUAAUACGUAGGGGGCAAGCGUUGUCCGGAAUAAUUGGGCGUAAAGGGCGCGUAGGCGGCUCGGUAAGUCUGGAGUGAAAGUCCUGCUUUUAAGGUGGGAAUUGCUUUGGAUACUGUCGGGCUUGAGUGCAGGAGAGGUUAGUGGAAUUCCCAGUGUAGCGGUGAAAUGCGUAGAGAUUGGGAGGAACACCAGUGGCGAAGGCGACUAACUGGACUGUAACUGACGCUGAGGCGCGAAAGUGUGGGGAGCAAACAGGAUUAGAUACCCUGGUAGUCCACACUGUAAACGAUGAAUGCUAGGUGUAGGGGGUAUCGACCCCUUCUGUGCCGCAGUCAACACAAUAAGCAUUCCGCCUGGGGAGUACGGCCGCAAGGUUGAAACUCAAAUGAAUUGACGGAAG
rnacentral:rRNA from 1 species